GGGAUUGAUGUGACUUUAAAAAGAAACUACUUUCUUCUGCGGAAAAAAGCAGCUGUGAACUCUUCUUUUAGAAAAAAGAAAAAAAAAAUACUGCGCUGCUAGUGACAUUUCUUUAAUUUAGCAAACACGAUAAAAUCUUAAAGUUUAGAUAAAAGCUGAUGUUUUAGUACUUGGGUCGAGCUGCUAGUCUCACCCUUCAUUAUCUGCCAUAAUAGAUCCCAACUUGUUAGUAUAUACUAUUACAUCAUAAUAAUAGCUAAUUAUACAUAAUUUGGUACAUGGGUCAUGGUGUGGUGGGAACAGAGAAAUAAUGUCGAUAGAUUUAAUUGGUGGGUUCGUCUGAGCAUGUGGUAGACAUGGAACAACCUUAUUACGUUUAAUCCCAACUCGGUAUCCAUCUCCAAUAUAGAGCAAAACAGCUGCAGGUUUCAUUAAAUACAGAGCUCCUUAUUACUCGUGUUCAAACUUCGAAGUUUCACCAGACUGUAAACUCUUUUUUUCUGUUCAACCCUGAAGGUUUUGGCGUACUAAUUUGCUAGUCCACGAUAAAGUUGUUGAGUGUUCUCUCAAACUCCAAAUUUGUUUUUGAUCAUCAUAUAUAGAGCUCUUCUACUCCAUUGGAGGUUAAUUUUGACGAGGCAUGCUGGGAUAAAUGUUAUUGAUGAACUGUGGUGGUGUUUUAACACAGGUUUACCGAAUCUAUUCAGCGAUUAACCAAGGCAAUUUGAAGCCAAAUAGCGAAACUUUCAGGAGCAUGAUAGAUCUUUGUGUGAAAGUGAAGGAUGUAAGUAUCUCUUCCUUGUUGCCUUCAGCCAAAUAUAUGCAAGGUUUUAAAAUAAGGAUAAAAUGUUUAACAAAGUAAUAGUUAGAUAUCUAUUUAAACAAAUUAGUACACAAUAACUUCAUAAGAACAACUCCUUCAUAGGUGCUCUAAUUUCUCUCACAACCGAACAAACUUGUAGUCAAGGAAAGAAUUCUUUUAGCCAUUUUUUUUACAAUUUAGUCACCAUUUCUAUAGAGACCACUAUCCAACUAAAGAUAAUUAACCAAAAACAAUAGCAAAUUAACAAUUAUCAAACACAAAAGC